AGUAAAAUCAGCUAAUCAAGCUUUUGGGCCCAUACCCCAAACAUGUUGGUUAAAAUCCUUCCUUUACUA
rnacentral:tRNA from 1 species